CCACGAUCUAAGUUAUUUAAAUUUAAUAACCUCAAAUUUAAAAAUAAAUGAUUAACACCUAAAG
rnacentral:tRNA from 1 species